rnacentral:rRNA from 1 species
ACGGAGGUUGCGAGCGUUGUUCGGAAUAACUGGGCGUAAAGGGAGCGCAGGCGGUUGGGUAAGUCUGAAGUGAAAGCCCGAGGCUCAACUUCGGAAGUGCAUUGGAUACUACGUUACUUGAGUAUGUGAGAGGAAAGCGGAAUUCCAGGUGUAGCGGUGAAAUGCGUAGAUAUCUGGAGGAACACCGGUGGCGAAAGCGGCUUUCUGGCACGAUACUGACGCUGAGGCGCGAAAGCGUGGGGAUCAAACAG